UGCCAGCUGCCGCGGUAAUACGGAGGAUCCAAGCGUUAUCCGGAAUUAUUGGGUUUAAAGGGUCCGUCGGUGGUUUAUUAAGUCAGAGGUGAACUACUGCAGCUUAACUGUAGAACUGCCUUUGAAACUGAUAGACUUGAGUUAUUGUGAAGUAGUUAGAAUGUGUAGUGUAGCGGUGAAAUGCAUAGAUAUUACACAGAAUACCGAUUGCGAAGGCAGAUUACUAACAAUAUACUGAACCUGAGGGACGACAGCGUGGGUAGCGAACCGGAUUAGAAC
rnacentral:rRNA from 1 species